CCUCCUUAACCUCAGGACUUUGAAGAAAAAAGCGACUCAUUUUCCUUUACACAAGGGAAUGGCGUUUUUACUAAACCUCUGCAAGCGCUCCAAGCUGCGAGGGGCCCUCCACUGUUCUUCUUUCAACCCCCUCAACCAUAAAAGUUACAGGAAUCGACUUCUAAAUACAUCACACUCAAGUCAAAGCCUGAAGAGCUGAGGGAACAACCGCUAGCAGCCCAAAGGCAUGUCCUGAAUCUCAAUGUGGAGAAAUAGAUCUUCAGCUGAAAAUCAUCAAAGAUAAGUAACUGAGUGAGGCCUACUCAUCUGACUCAGCCCCACUCCUACCUCAUCAGAUACUCUAUUAUUUCUGCCUUUCCUCUCAAAGUUCACCACCAAAUAUUAAAACUUCUUUUUGAAGCAUAUUUGCAGGGAGAUUUUAAUUAUUUAUAGAACCGCAUUUGUAACUUUGUAGAUCCCCAAAGAGAAAUGUACACCUUGGCAAUUAAAGUUUUACAUGGAAAUGAUUUACUAUGCCACUUUUGUAAGAAUUGGUCUAGUCACACUACUAUUUGCAAUAGAACUACACACUAUGGCGCCCACAAUGUGGAAUUCUGGUUGUAAAAUUCUAACUGCUGUAAUAGUUUGCCUAAUUAUCAACCUUAUAACAGCAUUAACAAUUGCAGGAAAGAUUUAGUCAAAAUUGUGUUGCUGAUAGCAGGAGUAAUAGUUACAGAUAAGAAGCAAGCAUGAAAGUUUUACUAUCAAUAAGUUUAAUAGAAGUUUUUACUGAAGGUUAGUAAUAUAAUGCACUCUAAGCUAUAAAUCAAAGGUUAUAAAGAAAGAGAUUUUAUGCGAGAAAGGAUUUUGUAUGAUAAAUACUUGUUCUAAAAGGAAAUGACUGGUUGUUUAAAGAAUGAAGGUUUAGGACGAGUCAGAAUGUUUAAGUAUCUCGUUAGGGGGUCUGUGAAAGUUAUGAAAUAAUAAAGGAAAAAAAUUGUCAAGAUUAACACUAAAGUUAUUUUAGCCACCCAGUAAUGUAUUUCUCCCAAGCAUAUUGCAAGUUAUGAAAAUGGCCUAAGCCUAAAGUUAUUCUCUAAUGGCAAGUCAAAGGGAAAAAGUAUGCUUUUCUCAAGGAAAAUGUUACUUUUAUAUUAACACUUCUGUAAUGUGCAGCGACAUCUAGUGGAGGCAAGCCAGUAUUGCAAUCCAUUAGUGUACGCAGGUAUCAAACUCAGGGUCUGCAGGACCCCCACUAACGGUGGUAAUUUUAAUAGUCAUAUUCUAACCCUGUAUUUUAAACCUUCUUGUAAAAUUUAUCUCUUGUCACCUAGAAGCAAUCAAACUCCAAAUGGUGCUCCAAGCAAAGCCACACGUGGACAUACCAUCUUCGAAGAACCCUUAGAUCAGCCUCAGGAGAAGGCCCAGCUGCUUGUUCCCCACACGAUACUCAUUGUCAGCAGAAAGUAGCCAGAAAGAAUCGUCAUCCAACCCCCGCUGAAAGCAUCACCAGGUAUGCCAAGUGUCAUGGCUGCCUCCAGGUAACCCCAUGUGCUCACGGCAUCAUGGCGGCCCACAUUUGCAUGUUAAAUGGCUAAGGUGGGAGGGCCAGGUUUUUCUG